rnacentral:lncRNA from 1 species
CUCUCUGUUUCCUGACCUGAUCAUCAUGUGGGCCGCCUCCCUCUGUCACACUCUCCUGCCAUGAUGUACAACCUCACCUCUCAAGCCCCGAGGAAUGGAGCCAGCCUUCUAUGGACUAAGACCUCUGAAACUAUGAGCCCUCAAAUAAACUCUUCCUCCUCUACAGUUGUUCUGGUCAGAUCCUUUAGUCACAGCAGCAAAAAAGCUGACUAAAACAUCCCGUGUCACCUACUAAAGCCAACAUUUUUCCAGAAGUGCCAGUUGAUUUCUGGUGAUGCUUCAUUGUAUGAAACUGUGUUCCACAGUCACCCCUGGCUACAAGGGCAUCUGAACAGAUACAAGUUCAGCUUUCCCGGCCUCUCUAAUUGUAUCUGUUUCCUGCUGUAACAAAGUACCACUAGCUGGGUAAACUAAACAACAGAUUUUUUUUUUCUUCUUUUGGUUCUGGAGGUUAGAAAUCUGAAAUCCAGGUGUUGGCAGGGCUGGUUCCUCCUGAGGCCUGUGAAGAAGUCUCUGUUCCAUUCAUCUCAACUAGCUCUUGAUGGCUCAGGCCUACCUUGACUUUAGGAUGAUGUUCUCCCUUGACUUAUAUUUUUCUGCAUAUCAGACUUUGUGUCCAAAUUUCCCCUUUUAAUAAAGACACCGGCCAAAGUGAAUUGGAUCCUAAGGUAAUGACUUCAUUUAAAUUUUAUUAUUUCUGUAAAGAGCUUGUUUCCAAAAUAAGGCCAUAUUCGAGGUACUGGGGUACCUGGGGAUGGUACCCCACAAAAGUGGUCAUGAACUAAAUGGAGUGGGUAGAGUUAGGGAAAUUUGACUUAAGUACCUGGCACCUGAUAACUUACUUUAUAUAUUUCCUAAGUGAACAUUGCAUCUUGGAUGAUCAACAAGAGUUGUUUAUCUCCAGAGGCACUGGUGCCUGAGUGACCCAGUAGCUUUCCUGACUUAGAGCCCUUCUGUUUCUGCUUACUUCAGUCUCAGAGCAAAAUGCUUCUCUGAUGAAAUCAACAAAUCCUUGUCCUUGGAAAGUGAAUUACCUCUGUUAGGGCGUUAUGACUUCACUUUCAAACACGGUACUGCUGCCUCUUGAAGCAGAGUUUACUACAGUGUCUUUUUUGUUGUUGUUUAAAAACCAGGGGUAUUUGUUCUUUGUGAUACCCACCCCUAUUUCCUACACCUCUAGGGUGGAAAUCCCAGGCACAUUCUGUCGCAGGGACUAUCA